rnacentral:rRNA from 1 species
GUGAGGAAUAUUGGACAAUGGGCGCAAGCCUGAUCCAGCCAUGCCGCGUGCAGGAAGAAGCAUCUAUGGUGUGUAAACUGCUUUUGUACGGGAAGAAAAAACGCUACGUGUAGUGCACUGACGGUACCGUAAGAAUAAGGAUCGGCUAACUCCGUGCCAGCAGCCGCGGUAAUACGGAGGAUCCAAGCGUUAUCCGGAAUCAUUGGGUUUACAGGGUCCGUAGGCGGCCUUAUAAGUCAGCGGUGAAAGUUUUUGGCUUAACCAAAAAAUUGACAUUGAUACUGUAGGGCUUGAAUAUUUGUGAAGUAACUAGAAUAUGUAGUGUAGCGGUGAAAUGCUUAGAUAUUACAUGGAAUACCAAUUGCGAAGGCAGGUUACUAACAAAUGAUUGACGCUGAUGGACGAAAGCGUGGGUAGCGAACAGGAUUAGAAACCCCAGUAGUCC